CACAUGCAAGUCGAGCGGCAGCGGGAAGUAGUUUACUACUUUGCCGGCGAGCGGCGGACGGGUGAGUAAUGUCUGGGAAACUGCCUGAUGGAGGGGGAUAACUACUGGAAACGGUAGCUAAUACCGCAUAACGUCUACGGACCAAAGUGGGGGACCUUCGGGCCUCACGCCAUCGGAUGUGCCCAGAUGGGAUUAGCUAGUAGGUGGGGUAAUGGCUCACCUAGGCGACGAUCCCUAGCUGGUCUGAGAGGAUGACCAGCCACACUGGAACUGAGACACGGUCCAGACUCCUACGGGAGGCAGCAGUGGGGAAUAUUGCACAAUGGGCGCAAGCCUGAUGCAGCCAUGCCGCGUGUGUGAAGAAGGCCUUCGGGUUGUAAAGCACUUUCAGCGAGGAGGAAGGCAUAAAGGUUAAUAACCUUUGUGAUUGACGUUACU
rnacentral:rRNA from 1 species